AUUAAGUUAAUUAAAUUGCAGUGAAUUAUAAUUCAGUCGUCUUCGUCAACCAAAUACGUGAACAACCUGCACUGAUUUAUUUUUAUUAUAUCAUCAGCCACACCACGUUAUAUAAAAUUCAAAUUCGUAAUCAUUAUCAUCGUCAUUAUCAUCAUCAUCAUCAUCACCGACAUUCACAUUAGCAGUAUAUUGUCAAGUUUUCACCAGUCGCGAAAUAAUAUAAUAAAUCGUAAGAUGGCGUUCCUGAAAUCUCUCCAAAAACAAGCCAUCAAUUUGAACAAAUCAGUUGGAGACUUGGUAGUUGAUGAGCCCUAUGUUAUACGGGCAAUGAAGGAGG